rnacentral:rRNA from 1 species
GACGAACGCUGGCGGCGUGCCUAAUACAUGCAAGUCGAACGCUUCUUUCCUCCCGAGUGCUUGCACUCAAUUGAAAAGAGGAGUGGCGGACGGGUGAGUAACACGUGGGUAACCUACCCAUCAGAGGGGGAUAACACUUGGAAACAGGUGCUAAUACCGCAUAACAGUUUAUGCCGCAUGGCAUAAGAGUGAAAGGCGCUUUCGGGUGUCGCUGAUGGAUGGACCCGCGGUGCAUUAGCUAGUUGGUGAGGUAACGGCUCACCAAGGCCACGAUGCAUAGCCGACCUGAGAGGGUGAUCGGCCACACUGGGACUGAGACACGGCCCAGACUCCUACGGGAGGCAGCAGUAGGGAAUCUUCGGCAAUGGACGAAAGUCUGACCGAGCAACGCCGCGUGAGUGAAGAAGGUUUUCGGAUCGUAAAACUCUGUUGUUAGAGAAGAACAAGGACGUUAGUAACUGAACGUCCCCUGACGGUAUCUAACCAGAAAGCCACGGCUAACUACGUG